rnacentral:rRNA from 1 species
UACGAAGGGGCUAGCGUUGUUCGGAAUUACUGGGCGUAAAGCGCGCGUAGGCGGACCACCAAGUUGGAUGUGAAAUCCCAGGGCUCAACUCUGGAACUGCAUUCAAAACUGUUGGUCUAGAGGCUAGGAGAGGUCAGUGGAAUACCGAGUGUAGAGGUGAAAUUCGUAGAUAUUCGGUGGAACACCAGUGGCGAAGGCGACUGACUGGACUAGUACUGACGCUGAGGUGCGAAAGUGUGGGGAGCAAACAGG